rnacentral:rRNA from 1 species
GUGGGGAAUAUUGGACAAUGGGCGAAAGCCUGAUCCAGCCAUGCCGCGUGUGUGAAGAAGGUCUUCGGAUUGUAAAGCACUUUAAGUUGGGAGGAAGAGUAGUAACCUAAUACGUUGCUACUUUGACGUUACCGACAGAAUAAGCACCGGCUAACUUCGUGCCAGCAGCCGCGGUAAUACGAAGGGUGCAAGCGUUAAUCGGAAUUACUGGGCGUAAAGCGCGCGUAGGUGGUUCAGUAAGUUGGAAGUGAAAUCCCCGGGCUCAACCUGGGAACUGCUUUCAAAACUGCUGAGCUAGAGUACGGUAGAGGGUGGUGGAAUUUCCUGUGUAGCGGUGAAAUGCGUAGAUAUAGGAAGGAACACCAGUGGCGAAGGCGACCACCUGGACUGAUACUGACACUGAGGUGCGAAAGCGUGGGGAGCAAACAGGAUUAGAUACCCUAGUAGUCC